GAUUAUUUAGUUUAAUAUAAAAUAAAUGUUUUGAAAACAUUAGAUAAGAAGUUAUAUCUUAAUAAUCG
rnacentral:tRNA from 1 species